ACCCUUUUUCCCCAAUUGUCCAUCCCCAUUUCAAAUCGAAUUUGAAAUCUUCGCAGCUCAAAUUGAAAAACCCCUUUUUGAAAACGGGAAGAAAGUGCUACUCCUCACCACCCGGAGACGGGAGCCAAUGCACAAAGGUCUGAUUUAGUCUGCUCAAGGGAAGCAGCCCAGAGCUAAAGCCUCGUAGCAGACGAAAUUGGUAAUCCUUAGUAGUAGUCGGCGGUAUUUUGUAGGUGACAGUGGAAUCGAUUUAGCUCGUAGAAGGUAAUUUCAUCUUUUUGCAACCCUAUUGUGAUUUUAUGCUGACGUCUCAGAUGUAUUUUUUGGAGUAAUUGUUCGGAUCUGGAUGUUAAAAAUUAUCGCGUGAUUUUGUGUGUUUCCUUA